GUGCCUCCGAGUAAGGAUCAGCUGCCAAAACCUCUGCAGUUAACACCAUAACUACGAGAAUGAUGGGGUACAAGAAAUGGAAAAUCUCCAUUGGAACUCGCAGUGGAGAAGGAAGGACAAAUUUUGGAGACCCAGAAAAGUCCUUGAGACGACAGCAGGAGUUGCAGCGAAGAAGGGGAAUGCAAAGAGAGUGAAGACAAGGGUUGCGACAAAAGUUAAGUCUCUUUUUCUGAUUUAUCAGCACC